GCAUGGGGUAUGGAUACUUCUUUGUGCUGUUGUUUAUUUUCAAUCAUUCCUCUUCACAGAUACUGUUUUUCUAUCCCCCAGGUCAACAAACUCUCUUUUCAGGGCAGACGUCUGCUGGAUCCAUGUCAACACUCGAAAGGCUGAGAGGGGGUCUGGAUUCCCUGAUGCGCCCAAGAGCCUCCAUCCUGGGUCCAACCGGGCUAUCAGUUUCUCUGUCCUCUAAGAAGCCUGAGCAGGUGAGCACAGAGGAUGGGACUGCUCACAGGCCAUCUGUCACCUCUGCUUUUCUUGCCACAUUUCUGGCCAGAGGCCCAGCCCACCCACAGGUGAGUCCAGGACUCCUAACAGGUGCCAGCUGGGGCUGCAGUGUGAUGUUUGCUUGGAACCCUUUACUUAUGUAGGGAAGGAUCCAUGAGGGCGGUGACACAGUGAUGCUGGAGGAGUCAAGGAGGGCACCCAUCCCAGGGAGCAUCAUAAUGGGCCCCAACCCAUGUCCUGCCUCCAUCUGCCCCCCUCCUCCUCCACACCUUAGCUUCUCUCUCACCAGCUGCUAGAGAUGUUUUCCCCAAAAUCUAAUCUGACUAGGCCAUUCCCCUAAGGGUCCUUUUGAUGGACUUGUGAGAUGAACAACACCCAGUCAUCUACUCUUCAGACAUUUAUUGAGGCCCAGAGAUGGUGUUGUGGGCACUGGAGGGGAGGUGAAGGUCAGGGAGCCCUGGGCCCAUUAGCACCAAGGCUUGCAGGAGAGCAGAGGAAGGAGCGUCACUCAGGCUGCUCGUGUGGCUCCUAAGCACCCCCUGCUCUCCAACUUCCUUCCAACUCUGAAUGGUGCUUGAACAAUAGAGCUCAUUCCACCCUUGCCUCUGUGACUUCUGACUUUUCCGUCUCUGUUGGGGUCUGAAUUCUCCUGUCACAAGGGAGACUUACUGUCCCUUCUGCCUUCAACUCAGCGGUGCCAAGUGAGUGCCCAGCGGCUGUCAGCCCCUCCCCAUCCCAGCCCUUCCUCAGUGUGGUCCAGGAAGAACUCACCUCACCAGCUACUCUUCCAGGAGAGAAAUACUGUCUCAUCCCUCAUGAUGACCUCAUGGGACAGGCACAGAGUAAGCCAUGACUCAAAAGCAGUCAAAUAUUGGGGAAUUUUCUGUUCAAGGGCUUCCCUGGUAGCCUAGAUGGUGAAGAAUCUGCUUGCAGUAUAGGAAACCCAGGUUCAACCCCUGGGUUGGAAGGAUCUCCCUGAAGAAGGAAAUGGUAACCCUCUCCAGUGUUCUUGCCUGGAGAAUCCCAGGGGCUGCAGAGCCUGGUGGGCUGCCUUCUAUGGAAUUGCAGAGUCGGACAUGACUGAAGCGACUUACAGCAGCAGCAGCAGUAGGGAGGACGUGGUGGUGGGUAGAGGAGCCGCCAUGGUGGAGGUGGUUUAGAGGAUGAAGAGAACUAGACCAGGGAAGUGACCGGCAAGACUGGUGCCCAACGUUUGCUAUUAAUAUAUUCUCCUGGGGCAGAGAACCUGAAAGUCCUUUUAAACUGUGCCGUCAUUCUUUCACCAGCACUGAAUCCUCAGCCUCCCAACAGCACGGUGCUGCUGUGCAUGACUCUUCUCUCCCCGAGGCUGUGGCUGGAGGGUGGAGAUGGGCAGCCACCUCCCCUGUGAAGCGCCGCAGCUGGUGAGUCCUGCUUGCUCCCAUCUGCAGUCAGAGGGCAGGCAGAGGGGCUGCACCAUCCAACACCAGCGUCUAAUUCUUCUGGGCUGGGGGUUUUCAUCGUACUCUGUUUUCAGGGUUAAUCAUUGUUUAAAGAAAGUGUCAAAAUGUUUUCCAAACCAUGGAAAUAUAAUGCAGCCUCCAGUCCUUAUCCAGAGGGCACUGGUCUUGCAAACCAUCAAGCACCAGUGAAUGAGCACAGCCUUCUCCUCCCUGGACAGUGAGGGGAUGUGUCCGCUCAGAGGAGCCCCGGACCCUCCCUCAUAAACAUGUUUGCUUUUCUCACAAACCCUACACUGGGUGACAUGACAGCUUCCCCAGCCCCUUCCUCUCAGAGGCCAGUGGCCUCAGACCCACCCAGCCUCUAGUUUUCACAUCCUGUGUCUCCUGCAGCCCUGACAUAGGAACAGCUUCUCACACAAUGCUUCUCUGAAAGCACUGUGACAGCCUUUCCCUUGAGAACCCUGCCCCUUGCUGAUCACGGGCCACCCCUCAGCCUGACCAGGCAUCCUACACUGCAAAGCUGAUCACUUUUCCCAGGUCACAAAAUAAUUCUUCAUUACCCUCAGGACAAAAUCCAAGUUUCCUCAUCGUCCCGAGGCUUCCAGUGGCCAGACCUCCCAUGCUAAGCUCUCAGUUUUUCCUUCUCACCGCACUGAAAAUAGAGCUCUUUUCUGCUUGUGACUUUUGCAUGUGCAGCUGUCAUGCCUUAGGUGUGUGUCCCCAGCUUGCCAACUCCUUUCCCUCCAGAACCCAGUUUGGAGAGGACCCUAUGGAAAGCCUUCCCCAUUCCUUGCCCAGCUGGGGAGGUGCCCAGAGGAUGCACUUCCAUGGGGCACUAGGGUGUUCCUCAAGGAUGCCUGCCUCAAAAGGUUGCAGCCUUUCAUGGGUCUUUCCUCAAGAGCACAGAUGUGCAGAGAAGAGCACAUAGGAGCAAUCAGUCUGUGUGUAUUAGGUGAAUAGUGAUUAGGGUUUGGUGUUAUCUACUUAAAAAACAAAAACAAAAAAGACCACACAAUGUAAAAGCUGUGGGUUGAGUUUAUUCCAUGUCUUACUGAGGACUAUAGUCCAGGAGACAGCCUUUCAGAUGAGAAACUGCUCUGAAGAGCUACUGGAGGAAACUGUAUACAUGUAAUUUUGGAGAAGGGGGAACAUGAACCCAAGCAGGCAUCUCAGCAGAAGGCUGCUUCUGGCUGUGAGGAGCAGACAGCUUACAUAAUGGUUUUAGAGCUUUUCUAAGUACAGGAAAACACAAGAAUCCAAGCUCAUAAAAUUUUCUUCUGAAAAUAUCUACUUAUCUGAAGGCCUGUUUCUGCCAGUUUUCCCAGAGCACAGGGGACCUCAUCCUGAUUUCCACCCUGAGCUUCUUAGGUCAGUGACUGCAGUGGCCAAGGACUCAACCCUCUGGAGCUGGGUGGCAAGUGACAGUCUUCAGUUGGCAAGUGCUUGAUGAAAUCAAAUACAUUGUUAAUUGGUUAGGAAUAUUUUAAGCUGAGAGUGAUAUAAAGCCUCAAAUAACAAUGGCUUGGGGAAGAAAAAUGUCUCUUGUUACUGUAAAAGUCCCACCCAUUGUUUGUCAUUGCAGAGGGGGUUACCUGGUGGUGCUGGGGAAGGGACUGCCUCUGGAAGUUCUGACUACAGGCUGUUUUCUUUGCAACCUUCCUAAGAACUUCAAACUCUCUAGAUUUCUUUCUGUCUCACUAGUUAGUAUAAAUUCCAGUCACCUGCAGCUAAGGAGUCUGGCAAACCUUUCACUUGAAUCCCAGGAAGAUGUCAAGCAACAGAGGGUCUGAUUUUCACAAGUAACUGGGGAACUGAUAAGAUGCAAUUUCAGAAGCAGCUGAGAUGCUGGAAGCUGAUUCCUAGGAGGAGAACUUAUCUCUGCUUCCAGCCCUGGCACCCUCAAAGCCUUUUCUCUGUACCAAAUAUUAACAUUAGAAAGAAUGACAUUUCAUAGUGAACUCCUGCCUGAUGAACAGAGAUUGAGUGACCCAAGUUUGCAGCUUAGAGACUGAGCUGGACUAACCCCGGGAAUUAAGCUUGUUUCUGCCGAUCCACUGGCUUCCUGGGCUUCCCUGGAACCUAAGAUGGCUGAGCUUCCCAGGUGGCUAAGAUGGUAAAGAAUGUGCUUGCAGUGCAGGAGACCCAGGUUUAAUCCAUGGGUUGGAAGGAUCCCCUGGAGAAGGGAGUGACUACCCACUCCAGUAUUUUUGCCUGGAGAAUUACAUGGACAGAGGAGCCUUGUGGGCUACAGUCCUUGGGGUUGCAAAGAGCUGGACACGACUGAGUGACUAAUACUUUCACUGCCAAUCCACGCUGCAAAUGCUGACUAAGCCAAGAAAGCCAAAGGAACAGGAAAUCCCCACGACAGAGCUAAACCUCUUCUCCCUGGCCAAUCCACAAAUCUAUGAAAAUGAAAUUUGCCUGCUUGUCUGUGGUUGACACCCUGAGAAGGCCCUGGAGCAAAUCUCCUUCACACGGGGAAUGGCCAGUUGGCCACGGGCUGAGCCUGAGCUCUCAGUGAACAGGCUGGGGGCAGGUCCAGCAGCUGAAGUUGCAACCCUUGAGGGGGCCCAUCACCACCAGCUGUGAGUGGCUGGGAGGCCUGUGCUUGUGGAUUUUCUAGCCUUUGAACCACAGCAUUUCCACUUGGAAGUUUCAAUGAUAUCUCUUCAGUUCUCUCUUUUUGCUUAUUUCUGCAUUUUCCCAGAGAGCUGGGGGCCUUUCUGUUCAGUUGAGUUCAGUUGCUCAGUUGCGUCCAACUCUGUGACCCCAUGGACUGCAGCAGGCCAGGCUUUCCUGUCCAUCACCAACUCCCGGACUUUGCUCAAAUUCAUGUCCAUUGAGUCAGUGAUGCCAUCCAACCAUCUCAUUCUCUGUUGUCCCCUUCUCCUCCUGCCUUCAAUCUUUCCCAGCAUCAGAGUCUUUUCCAAUGAGUCCAUUCUUCGCAUCAGGUGGCCAAAGUAUUAGAACCUCAGCUUCAGCAUCAGUCUUUCCAAUGAAUAUUCAGGACUGAUUUCCUUAGGACUGACUGGUUUGAUCUUCUCACAGUCCAAGGGAUUCUCAAGAGUCUUCUCCAACACCACAGUUCAAAAUCAUCAAUUCUUUGAUGCUCAGCUUUCUUUAUGGUCCAACUCUCACAUCCAUACAUGACUACUGGAAAAACGAUAGCUUUGACUAUAUGGACCUUUGUUGGUUAAGUAGUAUCUCUGCUUUUUAAUACUCUGUCUAGGUUGGUAACAGCUUUUCUUCCAAGGAGCAAGCGUCUUUUUAUUUCAUGGCUACAGUCACUAUCUGUAGUGAUUUUGGAGCCCCCCAAAACAGUCUCUCACUGUUUCCAUUGUCUCCCCAUUUAUUUGCCAUGAAGUGAUGGGACUGGAUGCCAUGAUCUUCACUUUUUGAAUGUUGAGUUUUAAGUCAGCUUUUUCACUCUCCUCUUUCACUUUUAUCAAGAGGCUCUUUAGUUCCUCUUUGCUUUCUGCUAUAAGGGUGGUCAGAAUGUGGUCCACUGGAGAAGGGAAUGGCAAACCACUUCAGUAUUCUUGCCUUGAGAACCCCAGGAACAGUAUGAAAAGGCAAAAUGAUAAGAUACUGAAAGAGAAACUCCCCAGGUCAAUAGGUGCCCAGUAUGCUACUGGAGAUUAGUGGAGAAAUA
rnacentral:lncRNA from 1 species